CCUCGGGAGGCUGCAGUGGGGAAUAUUGGACAAUGGGCGAAAGCCUGAUCCAGCCAUGCCGCGUGUGUGAAGAAGGCCUUCGGGUUGUAAAGCACUUUCAGUGGGGAAGAAAGCCUUGGGGCUAAUACCCUCGAGGAAGGACAUCACCCACAGAAGAAGCACCGGCUAACUCCGUGCCAGCAGCCGCGGUAAUACGGAGGGUGCGAGCGUUAAUCGGAAUUACUGGGCGUAAAGCGCGCGUAGGCGGUCUGAUAAGCCGGUUGUGAAAGCCCCGGGCUCAACCUGGGAACGGCAUCCGGAACUGUCAGGCUAGAGUGCAGGAGAGGAAGGUAGAAUUCCCGGUGUAGCGGUGAAAUGCGUAGAGAUCGGGAGGAAUACCAGUGGCGAAGGCGGCCUUCUGGACUGACACUGACGCUGAGGUGCGAAAGCGUGGGUAGCAAACAGGAUUAGAUACCCCUGUAGUC
rnacentral:rRNA from 1 species